GAUGAACGCUGGCGGCGUGCCUAAUACAUGCAAGUCGAGCGAACAGACGAGGAGCUUGCUCCUCUGGCGUUAGCGGCGGACGGGUGAGUAACACGUGGAUAACCUACCUAUAAGACUGGGAUAACUUCGGGAAACCGGAGCUAAUACCGGAUAAUAUAUUGAACCGCAUGGUUCAAUAGUGAAAGACGGUUUUGCUGUCACUUAUAGAUGGAUCCGCGCCGCAUUAGCUAGUUGGUAAGGUAACGGCUUACCAAGGCGACGAUGCGUAGCCGACCUGAGAGGGUGAUCGGCCACACUGGAACUGAGACACGGUCCAGACUCCUACGGGAGGCAGCAGUAGGGAAUCUUCCGCAAUGGGCGAAAGCCUGACGGAGCAACGCCGCGUGAGUGAUGAAGGUCCUCGGAUCGUAAAACUCUGUUAUUAGGGAAGAACAAAUGUGUAAGUAACUAUGCACGUCUUGACGGUACCUAAUCAGAAAGCCACGGCUAACUACGUG
rnacentral:rRNA from 1 species